rnacentral:lncRNA from 1 species
CUUGCAGUGCACGUUUCAUCUUGCACUGAAGUUCUCAUGGCAGCUUUAUGUCUUCAUGCUCCAGGCUAGAGCUAAUUCAGCACAAAUCUAGAACAGCUGAUGUUGAUGGCUGAUCUUGAAUAAGGUUCUACUGGAAUAGGGACUUGGAAAUGAAAAUUGCUGGUUGGGAGAUCUUAAACCACUUCAGGAGUUUGAAUUGAAAACAUUUCUAAUCAAACACUAAGUGCCCUAGAACUCUGUUGAUUACUGCCUGGAACCACCAGCUGAAGAGUUCAUCACAGCUGCAUCACAUCUUUACUCCCUGCUCUCCUUCCCUUGAAAGUGUAUGUUGUAUGGGAGAAUAGGCAACAAUGUAUCUGUCAGGCUGCUUGAGCUGACUAAUGUAGUAUUCCAGGCGAUAAGGAACACAUGCAGAUAUUUUUUUCCUAUUGAUUAGAGAGCUAUUCAAUGUUUAUGAAGUGGAGGCGUGAAGUAAAGAUACAGAAUUUUCUCAAGUGGAUUUGAUUCCCAUCUUAUCACUGAUGUAAAAUCAGGAGCUUCUCUACUGAAGAUGAAUCACUUAUGCUGUGUAGAGGAAAUGAAGGAUUUGUUGUUAAAGGCUUAUAUCAAGUAUUUCAAUCCAUGGAGUGAUGCUUUAUCGUACGCACGCAUGCAAGACUUUGAUACAGCCACUGUACAGCAGCUGUGAAAACUGUUGAUUCCUGCACAGAAAGGAGGGAAAAUUUGUAUUCCAGUCUUAUGUCACUCUGAGUAAUUCAUCUACUUAUUAUCAGACUGGUAGAGACAAUGCUGUAUUAGAGCCACUGUUUUAUCAUAGUAUUUUCAACAGCCCUUUGUUAGGAGACUUUUCCAUGGUAGCUCAUAGCAUCAUCUUCAAGUAGAAAUAAUGAUAUGCAAUAAGAUCCUCUUUGUUUUCUAGCUAUUGUUAUAUUCAAUAGCCAUAGUGCACAGGGCAGGGGUAUUAAGUAAUCAAAUUAAGUGUAGGAGAAUAUCUAUUCUCCUCCCAUAGAGACUCUAAUAAGCUUUCUGCAAACGGCUGGACUACAGUUGAAAGUUUACUUUCAAUGAAGUUUUACUAAGUUCACUAACUUUUACCAAGUAUAGCAUGCCAGUUUGGAGAAAUAAACCCUGAGUCUAUGUAAUAUUCUUUUUUUUU